rnacentral:Y_RNA from 1 species
GACUGGUCCAAAGGUAGUGAGUUAUCUCAAUUGAUUGUUCACAGUUAUAGAUCAAACUCCUUGUUCUGCUCUUUCCCCCUUCUCACUACUGGACUUGACCAGUCUUAA